AAGGUCGUUUGCUUGACAGAGUUGGCACAGUAGCUGCUGCCUUUUUCAUAGGAGGGGCAAGUCUUUUCUUAGCCACGACCAUCACAAUCACUUUGGCCCUCUUUAUAGUACAGCCACCUUAAAACACUAAGUUUAGGUUAGAAUUAAGUUCGAAAUGAAUAAAUGAACAAGGGAAGUAAGAAGGUAUAUACCUUGAGCUGUGUCUUUAGAUUUUGGGACGAUAGUCUUUUUGUGUCGAUCGCCAAAAAGCUUAUUGG
rnacentral:lncRNA from 1 species